AGAACGAACGCUGGCGGCAGGCCUAAUACAUGCAAGUCGAACGCACUCUUCGGAGUGAGUGGCAGACGGGUGAGUAACGCGUGGGAACCUUCCCAAUGGUACGGAAUAACUCCGGGAAACCGGUGCUAAUACCGUAUAAGCCCCUCGGGGGAAAGAUUUAUCGCCAUUGGAUGGGCCCGCGUCGGAUUAGCUAGUUGGUAAGGUAAUGGCUUACCAAGGCUACGAUCCGUAGCUGGUCUGAGAGGAUGAUCAGCCACACUGGGACUGAGACACGGCCCAGACUCCUACGGGAGGCAGCAGUAGGGAAUCUUGGACAAUGGGCGAAAGCCUGAUCCAGCCAUGCCGCGUGAGUGAAGAAGGCCUUAGGGUUGUAAAGCUCUUUUGUUGGGAAAGAAAUCCUGUCGGUUAAUACCCGGUAGGAUGACGGUACCAAAGAAUAAGCACCGGCUAACUUCGUGCCAGCAGCCGC
rnacentral:rRNA from 1 species